UUCUGAGACAGCCAGCCACUCUGAUUCUGUGGGAAAUUUGGUCUGUGAGAUGAUCAAAAAUCCUGAUCCUGUGGAGUAAGACAGCUGAUCUUAGAUGUAGCUUCUUCCACUAGGAAAAAGGAGGUUCUGCUCCCAAGGGAAGUAGGAUAAACUCCCAGGGCUACUGGGAGAUGUUUCUGCUCAUUGAAUAUUGUACAAUUAAUAUCGUACAUUUUAUUCAUAUGCCAUGAUGGUCCUUUGGAGCAGGCGUUAAUUAGGAGAUCCUGGAUUUUAUAGCUCUCAAUUCCUAAUUUAGAGCUGGGAUAUAUAGGCAUCCUUUGAUCUUAAAAACUUCCAAUUAAAAAAAUAAUCCCAGUUGGGGAAACACACCGUCACAUGGGCACCACUCUCUGCUCCAAUUCAGAAACAAGUUUUGCUUGUGAAUCACAGGGCUGUUGGGUUUUGCAGGGAUUUAUUUUCCUCCAUUUCCCUUCCAACAUUCAACUCAACCCCUUUCCACCCCUAACACCAUAUAACCAUCCUUCAUCUCUCACCCUCCUUUUGUUCCUUCUGAUGCCAAGAAGAAAAAAAAACUAGCACAAUUCCUUGUUUUGAAAAGUUGAUUUAUUCCAAGCAGCAGAGUGGAGUUCACAUAUCUAUACCUCUUUGAGACAGGAAAAGAGACAGGAGAAAAUGAGACGCAAACAAGGCUCCCGGAAACUUCCCUCUGCUCCGCGUUCUUCCCAGGAGCCCGGGAGAAAGACCGAAUGAAAAGCAUCCUUCAAACAAGCCCAGGAAGGAAAGCCAAGUCCUCCCUGUGGGGUCCCUGGGAGCAGCCUCUGGAAGGCUCUUGAAGGGAGAGAAGAGAAUGAAGUCAAGGCAUUAAUUUUCCUGGACCGUUUCUUGUGAAGGUGGAAGAAGAAUUCUGAAAGGACAUCGAUUUCCCGUGAAGGCAGAGGCGACUGUGAACUGUCACCACACGAAAGUGACGAUUUCUGGCUAAAAGCAGCCAACCGAAUGGGUACAAAACCACCCUGACACCAUCAAAGGCCGACCCAGGCAGUGGUGACCAAGGCUUCAAACACGCUGAGGAUGCUUUGUGAUGCUCAACAGAUUCUCACUGAUUGACUGGGAGGUGGAUUUGGAAUGAAGUGAUCGGGGGACUUUCUGUUUGUAUGACCUCUUUGAGCCCUGGUGUUCUUCUCCAUAAAAGGCGAUGGCAUUACCUGCCUUAAGAGCUUCUGUGACAACAAAAAGCCCACGUACGAAUGAGCUGGGCAAAAAUUUACACACCGUGAUUCAUGCGCAUCAUUGGCUGUUUUUGGUGGUGGCUGUAGACGUGUUAGCUGUUGUUAUUCGCUGCUGUGACUGAGGACGGUUUGAAAUAAAAUAGCUCAUCGUU